GACUUUAUCAAAAACAUGAUUGCAGGCACAUCUCAGGCUGACUGUGCUGUCCUGAUUGUUGCAUGCUGCUGUUGGUGAAUUUGAAGCAGGUGUCUCCAAGAAUGGGCAGGCCCAUGAGCAAGCCCUUCUGGCUUACGCACUGGGUGUAAAACAACUAAUUGUUGGUGUUAACAAAAUGGAUUCCACUGAGCCACCCUACAGCCAGAAGAGAUAGGAGGAAAUUGUUAAGGAAGUCAGCACCUACAUUAAGAAAAUUGGCUACAGCCCUGACACAGAAUCAUUUGUGCCAAUUUCUAGUUGGAAUGGUGACAACAUGCUGGAGCCAAGUGCUAACAUGCCUCGGUUCAAGGGAUGGAAAGUCACCCGUAAAGGUGGGAAUGCUGGUGGAACCACACUGCCUGAAGCUCUGGAUGGCAUUUCUGCCACCAGCUCAUCCAACUGACAGGCCCUUGUGUUUGCCUCUCCAGGAUGUCUACAAAAUUGGUGGUAUUGGUACUGUCCCUGUGGCCUGAGUGGAGACUGGUGUUCUUAAACCUGGCAUGGUGGUCACCUUUGCUCUAGUCAAUGUUAAAACUGAAGUCUGUUGAAAUGCACCGUGAAACUUUGAGUGAGGCUCUUCCUGCAGACAAUGUGGGCUUCAGUGUCAAGAAUGACGUAUCUGCCAAAGAUGUUCAUCGUGGCAAUGUGCCUGGUGACAGCAAAAAUGACCCACCCAUGGAAGCAGCUGGCUUCACAGCUCAGGUGAUUAUCCUGAACCAUCCAGGCCAAAUCAGUGUUGGAUAUGCACCUGUGCUGGAUUGUGACCCAGCUCACAUUGCUUGCAGGUUUGCUGAGCUGAAGGAGAAGAUAGAUCAUUAUUCUGGAAAAAAGCUGGAAGAUGGUCCCAAGUUCUUGAAAUCUGGUGAUGCUGCCAUUGUUGAUAUGGUUCCUGACAAGCCUAUGCGUGUUAAGAGCUUCUCUGACUAUCCUCCUGUGGCCCGUUUUACUGUUGGUGACAUGAGACAGACAGUUGCUGUGGGCGUCAUCAAAGCAGUGGAUAAGAAGGCUGCUGGAGCUGGCCAGGUCACCAAGUCUGCCCAGAAAGCUCAGAGGCUAAAUGAAUAUUAACCCCAAUACCUGCCACCCCAGUCUUCAUCAGUGGUGGAAGAAAGGUCUCAGGACUGUUUGUGUCAAAUGGCCAAUUAAGUUUAAUAGUAAAAGACUGGUUAAAGAUAACAAUGCAUGGCAAAACCUUCGGAAGGAAAGGAGAAUGUUUUGUGGACCAUUUGUUUUUUUGUGUGUAUGUGUGGCAGUUUCAAGUUAUUAAUUUUUAAAAUCAGUACUUUUUAAUGGACACAACUUGACCAAAAAUCUGUCACAGAAUUUUGAGACCCAUUAAAACAAAAGUUUAAUG